GAUAAACGCUGGCGGCGUGCUUAACACAUGCAAGUCGAACGAAGUUUUUCUUUCGGGAGGAACUUAGUGGCGGACGGGUGAGUAACGCGUGGGUAACCUGCCCUGUACAGGGGGACAACAGCUGGAAACGGCUGCUAAUACCGCAUAAGCCCUUAGCACUGCAUGGUGCAUAGGGAAAAGGAGCAAUCCGGUACAGGAUGGACCCGCGUCUGAUUAGCCAGUUGGCAGGGUAACGGCCUACCAAAGCGACGAUCAGUAGCCGAUCUGAGAGGAUGUACGGCCACAUUGGGACUGAGACACGGCCCAGACUCCUACGGGAGGCAGCAGUGGGGAACAUUGCACAAUGGAGGAAACUCUGAUGCAGCGACGCCGCGUGAGUGAAGAAGUAUUUCGGUAUGUAAAGCUCUAUCAGCAGGAAAGAAAAUGACGGUACCUGACUAAGAAGCACCGGCUAAAUACGUG
rnacentral:rRNA from 1 species